rnacentral:rRNA from 1 species
CCCUUAGAUGUUCUGGGCUGCACGCGCGCUACACUGAAGCGUUCAACGAGUAUUCACCUUGCCCGGGAGGGUUGGGUAAUCUUUUGAAAACGCUUCGUGAUGGGGAUAGAUUAUUGCAAUUAUUAAUCUUCAACGAGGAAUUCCUAGUAAACGCAAGUCAUCAGCUUGCAUUGAUUACGUCCCUGCCCUUUGUACACACCGCCCGUCGCACCUACCGAUUGAAUGGUCCGGUGAAAUCUCGGGACGGCGGCUCGGUCGCUUGCGUCCGACUGCUGAAACUUGAUUAAACCAUAUCAUUUAGAGGAAGGUGAAGUCGUANCA